rnacentral:rRNA from 1 species
UACGGGGGGGCAAGCGUUGUUCGGAAUUACUGGGCGUAAAGGGCUCGUAGGCGGCCAACUAAGUCGGAUGUGAAAUCCCCAAGCUUAACUUGGGAACUGCAUCCGAUACUGGAUGGCUUGAAUCCGGGAGAGGGAUGCAGAAUUCCAGGUGUAGCGGUGAAAUGCGUAGAUAUCUGGAGGAAUACCGGUGGCGAAGGCGGCAUCCUGGACCGGCAUUGACGCUGAGGAGCGGAAGCUAGGGGAGCAAACGGG